GGAAGCCUCGAGGUUUAGUCCCGCCCCCCUCUCCUCGCUGCUUAGGCUCCGCGGCCUCCAAGCUGUAGCUAUGACGGCGCGCGGGACUCCGAGCCGCUUCUUGGCCAGCGUUCUCCACAACGGACUGGGUCGCUACGUGCAGCAGCUGCAGCGUCUGAGCUUCAGCGUCAGCCGCGACGGCGCCUCGUCUCGCGGCGCCAGGGAGUUCGUGGAGCGGGAGGUGAUCGACUUCGCCCGACGGAAUCCAGGGGUCGUAAUAUAUGUAAACUCGCGUCCGUGCUGCGUUCCCAGAGUAGUGGCCGAAUACCGUGAGUGGGGCCGGGCUCGGGCUGGAGGGCGGGAUCAGGGGCUCGACCCGCUAUCCUCCUUCUCGCUUGGUCGCACCGGCCAGCUUCCACCCACUCUCACCCCUCUUCUGCCAGUUAACGGGGCUGUGCGCGAGGAGAGCAUCCACUGCAAGUCGGUCGAGGAGAUCUCGACGCUGGUGCAGAAGCUGGCCGACCAGUCGGGCUUGGACGUGAUCCGCAUCCGCAAGCCCUUCCACACCGACAACCCUAGCAUCCAGGGCCAGUGGCACCCCUUCACCAACAAGCCGACCACGUUCCGCGGGCUACGCCCCCGAGAGGUUCAGGAUCCUGCCCCAGCCCAGGUGCAAGCACAGUGAAGAGUAGCCCCACCAACUGCAGCCCCAGGCUUUGGACUGUUUCGCCAGUAAAGGUGGUUCUUCCCCUUUGGGAUUCCAAGCCCAGGCAAAUGGAACCCAUCAAUGGGCAAGUUGACAGAGCUUCUGCUUGGGAUAAUGAAGAGCUG
rnacentral:sRNA from 1 species